ACGCUCGACACCUACGGGAUGCAGCAGUCGGGAAUAUUGCGCAAUGGAGGAAACUCUGACGCAGUGACGCCGCGUGCAGGAAGAAGGUUUUCGGAUUGUAAACUGCUUUAGACAGGGAAGAAAGAAAUGACAGUACCUGUAGAAUAAGCUCCGGCUAACUACGUGCCAGUAGCCGCGGUAAUCUGAGCGGGCUGGCAAGGC
rnacentral:rRNA from 1 species